rnacentral:rRNA from 1 species
AUCUCUGAGGAGAAAGCAGGGGAUCGCAAGACCUUGCGCUUUUGGAGCGGCCGAUGUCUGAUUAGCUUGUUGGUGAGGUAAAAGCUUACCAAGGCUUCGAUCAGUAGCUGGUCUGAGAGGACGACCAGCCACACUGGGACUGAGACACGGCCCAGACUCCUACGGGAGGCAGCAGUGGGGAAUUUUGGACAAUGGGGGCAACCCUGAUCCAGCCAUGCCGCGUGAGUGAAGAAGGCCUUCGGGUUGUAAAGCUCUUUCAGCCGGAACGAAACGGUUACGGUUAAUACCCGUGACUACUGACGGUACCGGAAGAAGAAGCACCGGCUAACUACGUGCCAGCAGCCGCGGUAAUACGUAGGGUGCGAGCGUUAAUCGGAAUUACUGGGCGUAAAGCGUGCGCAGGCGGUUUUGUAAGUCAGAUGUGAAAUCCCCGGGCUUAACCUGGGAACUGCGUUUGAAACUACAAGGCUAGAGUGUGGCAGAGGGGGGUGGAAUUCCGCGUGUAGCAGUGAAAUACAUAGAAAUAUAAAAGAACACCGAUGGCGAAGGCAGCCCCCUGGGUCAGCACUGACGCUCAGGCACGAAAGCAUGGGGAGCAAACAGGAUUAGAUACCCUGGUAGUCCAUGCCCUAAACGAUGUCAACUAGUUGUCGGGCCUUAACGGGCUUGGUAACGUAGCUAACGCGUGAAGUUGACCGCCUGGGGAGUACGAUCGCAAGAUUAAAACUCAAAGGAAUUGACGGGGACCCGCACAAGCGGUGGAUUAUGUGGAUUAAUUCGAUGCAACGCGAAAAACCUUACCUACCCUUGACAUGUA